rfam:Pelecanus crispus contig33117, whole genome shotgun sequence.
GCUGGGUUAGCUCAGUAGGUUAGAGCAUGGUGGUAAUAACGCCAAGUUCACAGGUUCAAUCCCUGCUUACUGCA